CACCUACGUCCACUCCUCAAGCUCCACUUAGAAAUUUUCACUAUAAUCUAUAGAUCAUAGUGUGAUUGUUUGGCCGGACUCACAAUCAAACUCAGUUAGUUUUUUGAGAUCACCAAUCAUAACCUUUACAAGCUUUUUUCUAGUUUCACAAUCCAAUUUCCAGGUUUGGAUUGAAUCUUUUUCCUCAAGUUUCAAACCUUUGAAAGUUGUUACAGCAGAUAGUAAAAUAGAAAUUUUACAAUACAAAAAGUUCCUUAAUAAGUAGAUAAAUAUCAUUGAGGCUUACUUGAGGAUGUCUUGGAUUCUUUACAUU
rnacentral:lncRNA from 1 species